AUGGAAAAAUGAGAAGGCGGAAAUAGUUUUCAACAAACUUGCCUGCAAAGGAAGAACUGGAGACUUAGUUUAUCAAAAGACUUCAGUUGUGGAGGAAAGAUGAGUCUUCUCUCCCCCAACAUUACUGGUGUCCUUUAAGAACACAAUUGGAAACAUUGGUUAUAAUACCAAAGGCUUUGACUGGAAUAUCAUAUUUGAGAGAGAACUACACUGACUGUGAUAUUACCAGAUAGCUUUAAGAAACAAAGGUUAACUUUAUGGAACAAAUAAAGCCACUUGAAAAUAUUGGUCUGGUACCUUGCUCAUAUGGUUCCCAGCAACUUUACCAGAAUUUAUCUCAGCACAGCAAGGAGAGCACAAAACAGAAUCUCCAACUUCAAUAAAACCAGAGACAUCUGUUACCUCAAACUACAAUAUGUAAAGCAAGUAAAGGAGUAAAAAUUGAUUUAGCAAAGUGCAAAAAACUGAAAUAGAAGUCUUUGCAGAGAGAAACACUAUUGUAAAAUAAACAA